rnacentral:rRNA from 1 species
UACGAAGGGGGCUAGCGUUGUUCGGAUUUACUGGGCGUAAAGCGCGCGUAGGCGGAUUCUUAAGUCAGGGGUGAAAUCCCGGGGCUCAACCUCGGAACUGCCCUUGAUACUGGGAAUCUCGAGUUCGGGAGAGGUGAGUGGAACUGCGAGUGUAGAGGUGAAAUUCGUAGAUAUUCGCAAGAACACCAGUGGCGAAGGCGGCUCACUGGCCCGAUACUGACGCUGAGACACGAAAGCCAGGGGAGCAAACGGG